CUCGGCCUUCCCACAGCCCCUGAGUCACUGGGGAAGGCGCGUGCGGAGAGCCCGCCUACAAAAUCGCUCAAUUUCCCAAACCGCGUACUCAAGAGUCCAGGACUUGUUUUGUUCCGGAGCCUCUGGCUCAGUGGCAGCUCCCUGCAGAUGCAGUUACUGCUCCGGGCCCAGGACACACGUGGCCUGCCACACUACCCAGCCUGCUCCUUCUGCACCUCUCUCCUCCGCUCACCGCUGCACCAAGGGCGGGGACAUUUUAGCAUUCGAGGGAAAUGCACUGGAGAUCACUAGGGCCACAUGGAUUUUCUCCCAGUGCAGCCCUAGAGCCACAGGCCGCAGUAACCCGACGCUUGACAAGUUCACCGUGCAUCCUGUUGACAAGUUCACCGCGCGCAUCCUGGAAGCUGUUUUCUUUCUGACCCAAACGACAAAUCGUCAAACCAGAGGAGCCAAGGCUCUGCGACAAACCACUGGCGCGUGUGGCAGCUGCCAGAGGCCAGAGCCAGCGAUAAGACAGAUGACCAAAUUUGGCUGUUCAGAGAUCUGCCGGAGCUCAAGGAAGUUGGAAAGGAAAGGCCUGGCAUGGGGUAGGCAGGAGGCAGCAGCCUGAUGAGGUUCCCACAGGUCACCCACUGGCCCCCAGCCUGGAGGGCCCACAGACCAAACCCACUGGGGGCCGAUGUGUGGACCAGAGGCUGGUCUGUCCAGAUGUCCAGCCUGUGCUGUCAUUCCUCCCUGGAGCCCUAGAUCCUGGGCAAAGUAGCACCAUACAGUGAUGUUUUGAUGACAGACAAACUGCAGAGGUGGUGACAUCGUGGCUGUCCUAGUUUACAUCAGUCCAUUCAGUCCUUCACACAGUGACAAAAUCCCUGAAGGUAGAACUAGUGUUCAAGACCAUGUAUUCCCUGUCUCUCUGAAGUUCAUGCACACAGCCCCUUCAAAGAUGCCCUCGGUGAAUCCAGGGUCUUCACGCUGAGUGAGCUACCUCCUCAGCCAUUUUUAUUUUAUUUCAUUUCUUUUCUUUUGAGAUAGGGUCUUGGUAAGUUGCCCAGACCUGGUUUGAACUUGUGGUCCUCCUGCCCCAGCCUCCCAGAGUGCUGGGAUUACAGGCCUGGGCCACCACACAGACUGGGCUAAUUAUUUUUUAACAGAGAAAGUGGAGAGAGGGCCUAUUGGUCACCAGGCAGAAAGAGGAGAAAAGGGCGGGAGGGAGGAAGUUCAUUCACUUCGGAGAUAACUGGACACCGAUGAAUUGUUAACUGGAAUCUAUAGAGGAUGAGAAGCUUUGGAAGCAGUUUUUUCUUUCCUGGUUAAAAAAAAUAAAAAUAACAACAAAAAAAAUCCCACCUUUCAGGUGUUAAUCUUUCUAAAUUACUUUAUUGAUUUCCUCCCUUAGUUACUAAGGUCUAAUAGCCUUUGUAGGUAUCUGAUGACCAUAGACUGUUAAAGAUAUAGCAAUCAUGUUAUAAAAGAUUGUU